AUAGAAGGGUAGGUCAGUGGAAUCAUGCAUGCAGGGCAAUGGGUUGUUGACAUAAGUUAGAGCGCAUGCACCUUUACGUCUUCAUCUCCAAAUUUCCUGUUUUUUUUUAUUUUUAUUCAAAUAUAAUCUUUGGCUGCCUUUUAGUGUUACUUUUCCAUCAUGAUCUUUCCCUUACAUCUAAAACAAUUCUUCAUUUCUUUUUUUAUUUUGCCUUGAAAGCUUCAACGGCGAGGAUUUUAGUUGUAGGUAGUGGCUGCGGUGAGCGUAAUCACAACAUUGGUAGUAGAUCUUCAUGUUUUCAGCUUUGCUAAGGAUGCUGCUGGUGAUGAUUGAAGUAGUUUUGGGGGUUCCCAAACUCCACCAUUGGAGACAUGAUUUCAGCUUCCCAAAGUUCGCCAUUAUUAGAUUGCUGCUGCUGCUGCUGAUUGUCGGUAAUCAAAGAAUCCAGAAACAAAGAGAACAUAUGGUCUUCGUUGCCAUUUUCAACCAAGUCUCCCCCGUUCCCGCUGCUGCUUGGCUGCCCCAUGCAAUCGUCACCAACCUCUUGUUGGUGUUGAUAUAUCUGAUGAGAUUCCAGGUUAGUAGUUUCCAUGGAAUUAGUUUUUUCUCCCAUUAAUUCAGAAGAUUUGAAGGAGCUUGGGGGGUUAGGGUUUGAUUCUGGGACAUCAUCAUCAUCAUCCUGGUUAGCUUGUGAUGAACCAUGGCUAACAGGGCUUAAUGGUUUAUGGGUUCUUGGAUCUAUUCCUUGGCUGAUUAAAUUCUUGCUUAGAUGGGUAUUCCAGUAGUUCUUUAUUUCAUUAUCUGUUCGUCCCGGAAUCCUCCCAGCUAUCAAUGCCCACCUGGAAAUAUUCACAGUGUAAGAACCCUUAAUCUUACAGUCCAUAUAUUCAUAUGCGUAUAUAUAUAUAUGUGUGUGAUAUUGCUACUUGCUAGUACCUUCAAAAAAAGCCAGAUAUGAAUCAUUGGAAUUAACUUGCAAGAAACCCUAAAAGGGAAUCAAAAGAAAAACCUCGAAAAUAAGCGUCAUGAGUAUGAAUAUCAGGAAGAGAUGACCUGUUUCCGAGCAAGCGAUGAAGACGAAGAAUGAGAUCUUCUUCAUCAGGAGCAAUAGGACCUCGUUUAACGGUGGGUCGGAGAUAAUUCAUCCACCGGAGACGACAACUCUUCCCACAUCUAAGCAAACCAGCUCGUUUAGGCAAGGUUCGCCACCUUCCUCCGCCUUCUAUCUUGAUGUAAUUAGCUAAGACUUCAUCUUCUUCCGCGGUCCAUGGCCCUUUCUUUAUCCCAACUUUGCUGCAACAUGGCGUUCUGCUUGUUGCCGUUGAAGUUCCUAAUAAAAUUGGCUUCUUCAUUAUUUCUUCA